AUGCCCCGAGUCACGGGGCCGCGGCUACAUAACACAAGGUGGCAGAAUAGAGACUUGAACUCAAGUCCGAGAGGUUUCAAAAUUCGCUCUUCCCCCUUCUUCAAGCACUGCGUCCCACUAUCUCUGUCUCCAGGUUCUUCAUUCUGCCUGACACCAGGACACCUGUCGGGAUACCCGAGCCAUCCUUUACCCCAGCCACUCCCACACACCUGGCCCACCGCAGCCCCGCAUUCUGGCGCGACCCCCGUUCUUUUCGGCGCCGCGCCCCAGUUUCCGCAUUUCCCACAGGCCAGCCGUCCGUCCUCCAUCGCCCCACCACCCACCACCCCUACCUCCUCUCCUCUCACGCGCCCGUUACUUCACCCACCUUCCCACGCCCGUUCCGGGCCCUCCCAUCCUUGGCGUCCAAUCCCAAUUCCCAGGCAACACGCCCCCGCCCCGGAUCCACCCGGAGCCGGCGCAGCCCACGCCUGGCCCUGGCCUUCUCGCCUUUGCCGCCAGCCCCCGCCGCUCGGUCUGGACCCCGGAGGACGGCCUCGACCAGCGCAGCACUCACCGCCCAGGAGCCCAACCGAGCAGCCCCACGGACCGGGGCGGGGCGGGAGACGCGCGGGCCUCUCGCUUCAGGCGCCGGGCGGCGCGGGAGCCAUUUUGUUGUGUUGUGCCGGUUGCCGAGUGGCCGCGCGCGCGGGGGUGGGCGGGGACUCCUUGGCCACGCCCCCGGGGGCCGUUGGGAGGAGUUUCCCCGUCGUCGUCUUUGCCGCCUUCAGCUGGCCGCGCGCGCGGGGCCGCCAGGGUGCGAAGCUCCGCGCCGCACAAGCCCGGCGGGGCUGUGGCGCCUCAGCGUUCGGGUCGCGACGCCCUGGGGUGCGGAGUCCCCCGGAGGACAGAUUUCUGGCGGUGCCAACAAGCAAGGCAGUUACGUCGCUGAGUCAGAGAACAGCCCGAGUGCUACCGGCCGGCCUUGACUUCCUGUGCCUUGCUGCACGCUUCUCCCGGCUGGGCUAUUUCUGA
rnacentral:lncRNA from 1 species